AUUGAACGCUGGCGGGAUGCUUUACACAUGCAAGUCGAACGGAGUGGCGGACGGGUGAGUAAUAUAUCGGAAUGUGCCUAGUAGAGGGGGAUAACUACUCGAAAGAGUGGCUAAUACCGCAUACCAUCGGAGCAGCCGAUAUGGGAUUAGCUAGUUGGUGGGGUAACGGCUCACCAAGGCAACGUUCCGUAGCUGGUUUGAGAGGACGACCGGCCACACUGGGACUGGGACACGGCCCAGACCCCUACGGGAGGCGGCGGGGGGGAAUUUUGGACAAUGGGGGAAACCCUGUUCCAGCCAUCCCGGGUGUAUGAUGAGGGCCUUCGGGUUGUAAAGUACUUUUGGCAGAGAAGCGGUAUCUGCAGAAUAGCACCGGCUAACUACGUGCCAGCAGCCGCGGUAAUAC
rnacentral:rRNA from 1 species